rnacentral:rRNA from 1 species
UACGUAGGGGGCUAGCGUUGUACGGAUUUAUUGGGCGUAAAGAGCGUGUAGGCGGGCAGGUAGGUAUGGUGUGAAAACUCGAGGCUUAACCUUGAGAUGUCAUCGGAAACCAUUUGGCUAGAGUCCGGAAGAGGAAAGUGGAAUUCCUGGUGUAGCGGUGAAAUGCGCAGAUAUCAGGAAGAACACCAAUGGCGAAAGCAGCUUUCUGGGACGGUACUGACGCUGAGACGCGAAAGCGUGGGGAGCGAACAGG